rnacentral:misc_RNA from 1 species
UAAAGGGAGACAUGUUUUAGAGAGGAUAAGAGGAACCGAGAAUGUAGAUGCAGAAUUCGAAGACAUGGUGGAUGCAAGUGAAUUGGCACGUUCGGUAAAGCAUCCGUUUAGAAACAUUCUUAAAAGGAGAAACAGGCCUCAGUUAAUCAUGGCGAUUUUGAUGCCGACUUUUCAGAUACUUACUGGCAUUAACAUCAUACUUUUUUAUGCCCCAGUAUUGUUUCAGAGUAUGGGGUUUAAAAGAGCAGCCUCUCUGUAUUCCUCUGCUUUGACUGGUGCAGUUCUUGCUUCAUCUACACUUUUAUCAAUGGCCACUGUCGAUAGAUGGGGUCGAA